AGGAACGUCAUCAUGACGCCGUGCUUGCGGGGGUACUUCUGGCAGAGAGCACUGAUUGCCUGAACCACCACCACCUGCAAGGCAGCCAAGGCAGGUCCCACAGAGAAAUCUGCUAGCCAUUUUAUAUGAAAAAAGCUCUGAAAAGACUUCAUAUCAAAUGCAUCGUCCAACAAACAUCACAGCGAUAAUAAUCAUCGAAGCCGAAAGACAUCGACUCCAGAGCUGGCAACUGGGGGAACGAAAAACAACGGAUUAGCUCAUGGCCAAACCCCAGUCUUCACCUUGAACUCAUCCGAGAUUUCAGAAACGAAGGAAGAAAUCUGUUUCAUGAGCCUGUCCACGCUGCUCUCACUGCCUGUUUUGAGGAGGGUAGUGAUGGCCAGGGUGGCUAUGCUGCGGUUUGAGUCGGUGAUCAGGUUUUCCAAGUCCAGAUUGCAGGCGGUGACGGCAGAGGGGUGCCUCAUGGCCACCUGGAGGUGGGCGAGAAGAGAUAUAGGACCAAGUGGCAACUCCCUGGAAACCCAAAGCUUCAGCAAUCAAACGCUCCUUAAGGGAAAGGCAAGCACCUGAUGGGGUCUCCUCCAGGAGAGAAAGCAUGUGUAGGAGAUGACACAUCUGGACACCAAAGGCAAGAUAACAGCCUACACAUCUCGACGGUGCUCUUGAAAGCAAAGACAAUGAUCAGUGGGUUAAACAGGGCUCCAGCUGAAUACAAUACUAAUAAUGGACUACUAGCCUUCACAGAGGUCAGAGUACUGGAUAAACAUCCCUUCCAUGCUUACAAAGCCCUCUGGGCUAGCAUGAGUCAUCGGGUUCACAAAACAAGAUUCAAUACGACGUAGCUCAAAAUGGCACAACCGCCCCCGAGGGAGCAAGAUUUUCACCCCCGCCCCUCCAGGGAGGAAUGGUAGCAGCCUCGUCGGUUGGCGGGUCCAGGUUUACAGAAAACUCACGGUUCCAGCUGCUUCAAGACCGCCCCUAGACCGGCAGCAGCUGCAGAGGGUCAAGGAGCAACAGCGGCCUAGGUAACUUACCUGAAACCG